GGCUCAGAUUGAACGCUGGCGGCAUGCCUUACACAUGCAAGUCGAACGGCAGCACGGGAGCUUGCUCCUGGUGGCGAGUGGCGAACGGGUGAGUAAUACAUCGGAACGUACCCUGAAGUGGGGGAUAACGUAGCGAAAGUUACGCUAAUACCGCAUAUUCUGUGAGCAGGAAAGAGGGGGAUCGCAAGACCUCUUGCUUUAGGAGCGGCCGAUGUCGGAUUAGCUAGUUGGUGAGGUAAAGGCUCACCAAGGCGACGAUCCGUAGCGGGUCUGAGAGGAUGAUCCGCCACACUGGGACUGAGACACGGCCCAGACUCCUACGGGAGGCAGCAGUGGGGAAUUUUGGACAAUGGGCGCAAGCCUGAUCUAGCCAUGCCGCGUGAGUGAAGAAGGCCUUCGGGUUGUAAAGCUCUUUCGGUGGGGAAGAAAUUGCACAGGAUAAUACCUUGUGUAGAUGACGGUACCCGCAUAAGAAGCACCGGCUAACUACGUG
rnacentral:rRNA from 1 species